UACGUAGGGGGCGAGCGUUGUCCGGAAUCAUUGGGCGUAAAGCGCGUGUAGGCGGCCCGGUAAGUCCGCUGUGAAAGUCCAGGGCUCAACCCUCGAAUGCCGGUGGAUACUGUCGGGCUAGAGUGCGGGAGAGGCGAGUGGAAUUCCUGGUGUAGCGGUGAAAUGCGCAGAUAUCAGGAGGAACACCGGUGGCGAAGGCGGCUUGCUGGGCCUUACCUGACGCUGGAGGAGCGAAAGCGUGGGGAGCGAACAGG
rnacentral:rRNA from 1 species